AGAGAGAUAGCUGGGUCAAAUGGUGAAUCCAUUCCCGAUUUUCCAAGAAAUCUCCAUACAGCUUUCCAUAUUGGCUGUACCAAUUUGCAGUCCCAUCAGCAAU
rnacentral:pre_miRNA from 1 species